rnacentral:hammerhead_ribozyme from 1 species
AUCCAGCUGACGAGUCUCGAAUAAGACGCAAAGCGCGUCCUGGAU